AGAACCUAAUAAUGACUUGACCAUAAGCCUCUUUACAGAAGAAACUCCACAGAGCCCUUUGCUCCCAUUCUUAUGCCAUGCAGCAAAGACCGGUUCACAGUUCUACUACUUAAAAAGUCUACAGAAAAUAAACUAAGGAGGAAUGAGUCGCAGCACCAGCAGAUUCAACAUCGCAGCCCUCUCAGUAAGGAGCUUCCUCGGUUUGCUUUCGGGGGUUGCGAGCCUCCGGUGGAGAGGAGCCAGAGAGACCGAGUGGCUGUGGAAGAGGAACUUGACCGCGCACUAGUUCAAGGACAGCUGCGGUGCCGUGCGGCUGCGGGCCAACUGUGACGCAGAACCGUAGGGAGCACCUUCCAUCCGCCCCUGCUGCUACCUUAGUCCCAGGGACAAGCACGUCCAAAGCGCUCCAGAGCCUGCGCAUCGGGAGCGGGCAGCGCCUGGAGGGAGCGGCCGAGGCGCGGACACGGACUCCUGGGCAGUAGAGUUUGGAAAGGAGCCGCAGGGGCUGGGCCAGGAGACAAGUCCUUGCGGUAAAUACAGCCCUGCUGUUAGUCGUCCCUCUUCUCUACCUUCAGACGCUGCCUGUCCCCUGACUUCUCACUCGGGGAGGUUCACUUUCAAGGGCAUCCUUCACAGAAUUGGCCAGGAGCCACAGUGGCAAAUCUCCCUCCAUCAUCCCAGGGCAAGGAAUAGCAUGUUCUGCUCUUGCCAACUGCUUGGUAUGGUGUUAACAUGACUGAUUGAGUCAGCUUUGUGCACAGCCAGUAACCAGAGCAGAUUCCAGGAACUGGAUGUAAGCAAGUGAGAUGCUGUUUUUUAAUAUCUCAAAACAUGACUCCAUGGGAGAUGCAAGCAACAGGAGAAAGGUGAGUUAUUAUAAGCAGUAUUUCUAACUGCUCUUCAACGUA